CCUACGGGAGGCAGCAGUGGGGAAUAUUGGGCAAUGGGCGCAAGCCUGACCCAGCAACGCCGCGUGAAGGAAGAAGGCUUUCGGGUUGUAAACUUCUUUUCUCAGGGACGAAGCAAGUGAUGGUACCUGAGGAAUAAGCGACUGAUAACUACGUGCCAGCAGCCGCGGUAAUACGUAGGUGGCAAGCGUUAUCCGGAUUUACUGGGUGUAAAGGGCGUGUAGGCGGGACUGCAAGUCAGAUGUGAAAGCCACGGGCUCAACCCGUGGACUGCAGUUGACACUGUAGUUCUUGAGUACUGGAGAGGCAGACGGAAUUCCUAGUGUAGCGGUGAAAUGCGUAGAUAUUAGGAGGAACACCGGUGGCGAAGGCGGUCUGCUGGACUGCAACUGACGCUGAGGCGCGAAAGCGUGGGGAGCAAACAGGAUUAGAUACCCCUGUAGUC
rnacentral:rRNA from 1 species